ACAAGACAUUUACAGGACAUAUGCAAGUUAUCAUGUUAACCUUGUACUUGGCCUCAAAAAAAAGUCUGUUUCAUUCGAGGAAGUUGCUGCAGCGAUUAGCGGAACUUGAUUUCUUGCGGAAACGAUUUAAUUUAUUUGUGAGCUCACGAGAAAAUACUCAGAAUGCUUUAGUUAAAUAUCAUGGUUAAAUAUGUAAACAUGUCGAGGUUGUUAUACAGCCAUAUUUUCAAAUAUACUGUACUUGAACAAGCAAAUUUACUGUACUGUGCUACAGCAACUGUCCAGUCACGCAUACGUGAUAAAAAGCCGAUAUAAACUUUAUAAACAAAAGAUAAUGUAAAACGUAACAGAACGGCGAACAUGCAGAUUCGGCCAUCUCAAAUAAUGGUAAUGUUGGGAUAGUAGCGUUGCAGACUGCAGAGGAG